rnacentral:tRNA from 1 species
GCCCCAGUAGCUCAGUGGUAGAGCGAUUGCCUCGUAAGCAGUAGGCCGGGGGUUCAAAUCCCCCCUGGGGCU